rnacentral:rRNA from 1 species
UUUGGAGGGCAAGUCUGGUGCCAGCAGCCGCGGUAAUUCCAGCUCCAAUAGCGUAUAUUAAAGUUGUUGCAGUUAAAAAGCUCGUAGUUGAAUUUCGAGAUCGGCUUAUCGGUCGUGCUUUUGUACGUACUGGUAUAAUCGGUUUCUCCUUUCUGACGAACUUUAAUGCCAUUAAUUUGGUGUUUUAGGAAAUCAGGACUGUUACUUUGAAAAAAUUAGAGUGUUUAAAGCAGGCUCACACUUGAAUACAUUAGCAUGGAAUAACGGAAUAGGACGUUUGAUUCUAUUUUGUUGGUUUCUAGGAUCGACGUAAUGAUUAAUAGGGAUAGUUGGGGGCAUUAGUAUUCAAUUGUCAGAGGUGAAAUUCUUGGAUUUAUUGAAGACUAACUACUGCGAAAGCAUUUGCCGAGGAUGUUUUCAUUAAUCAAGAACGAAAGUUAGGGGAUCGAAGACGAUCAGAUACCGUCGUAGUCUUAACCAUAAACUAUGCCGACUAGGGAUCGGAUGAUGUUAAUUUUUUAAUGACUCAUUCGGCGCCUUACGGGAAAC